UCCGAAUUAGUUUAGUGGCUAUGACGGCACCUUGUCACUCUGCGGGCCCCUCUUCGCCGAGGAGGUGACCGGUGCAGACCCGGGUUCGAUUCCCGGAUUUGGAG
rfam:Pseudozyma flocculosa PF-1 unplaced genomic scaffold scaffold00022, whole genome shotgun sequence.